AUGAACGCUGGCGGCGUGCCUAAUACAUGCCAGUCGAGCGAACGGACGAGAAGCUUGCUUCUCUGAUGUUAGCGGCGGACGGGUGAGUAACACGUGGAUAACCUACCUAUAAGACUGGGAUAACUUCGGGAAACCGGAGCUAAUACCGGAUAAUAUUUUGAACCGCAUGGUUCAAAAGUGAAAGACGGUCUUGCUGUCACGUAUAGAUGGAUCCGCGCUGCAUUAGCUAGUUGGUAAGGUAACGGCUUACCAAGGCAACGAUGCAUAGCCGACCUGAGAGGGUGAUCGGCCACACUGGAACUGAGACACGGUCCAGACUCCUACGGGAGGCAGCAGUAGGGAAUCUUCCGCAAUGGGCGAAAGCCUGACGGAGCCACGCCGCGUGAGUGAUGAAGGUCUUCGGAUCGUAAAACUCUGUUAUUAGGGAAGAACAUAUGUGUAAGUAACUGUGCACAUCUUGACGGUACCUAAUCAGAAAGCCACGGCUAACUACGUG
rnacentral:rRNA from 1 species